rfam:Phytophthora sojae unplaced genomic scaffold PHYSOscaffold_7, whole genome shotgun sequence.
GCCUCGAUAGCUCAGUUGGGAGAGCGUCACUGAAGAUCUGAAGGUCCCUGGUUCGAUCCCGGGUCGCGGCA